rnacentral:snoRNA from 1 species
AACUCUAACUCAAAAAGAAAAAAAAAAUUGCAGAGGCAGUCCAAAGGGUGUGCUUCUCCUGUGGCUCAGUCUUAUUCCAUAGCCGUGACAUCU